rnacentral:tRNA from 1 species
GGCUGAUUAGCUCAGUCAGUUGAGCGUGGUGCUGAUAACACCAAAGUUGUGGGUUUGAUCCCCAUUUGGUCCC